GGAUGGGUGGCCGAGUGGUUGAAGGCACUGGUCUUGAAAACCAGCAAGGGCUGACGCCCUUCGUGGGUUCGAAUCCCACCCCAUCCGCCA
rnacentral:tRNA from 1 species